rnacentral:lncRNA from 1 species
CAACAUAUACAUCAACAAUUGGUUUCAAAUCUGUGCUUGCUGGCUGAGAAGAGGGGUUAAAAGUAUGGGCUCUGACAUCCCAGGAUUGAAUUCUAGCUUGACUUUCGGCAAAUUACAUAAUAUUUCAGUGCCUUAGUCUCCAGCUCUGGAAAAUGAGGAUGAUAAUAAUUGCACGCCCUUAAAAAUUUGUUGUGAGGAGUGUAAAAUAACAUUUUCUCCUUAUGGGAGCAUUUCUCAAGGAUGGAUCAUAACUGACUACUGUGUUUCUCAAGGUUGGCUCCAAACCAGCAGAAGCUGAAUAAAGGACUGUGAACUUGGAAUGACUAUGGGACGCUAGGCUCUUACUGGUCCUAACUGAAGACUUGUUCCCAAACAGUGAAAUUAAUUAAUCAUUUAUUCAGAAUCUCCACUUCCUGCUAGUUGUCCAACUGGCAUGGCAGCAGCUCCUUCCUGCAAAGCAAUGUUGAAGAAGCUAUGGAAGCAAGAAGGAAGCAUGGAUUCUAGAAACUGAUGACAAACCACUUACCCCUAUUGCUCUUCUUCCUAAAGCUAAAGAACCCUAGGACCUUGAGGACACCAUUUGAAAACUAUUCAUGGAGAACAUGGCAUCCUAGAAUGAGAAAUCUGCAUCUGGAUCAAACUGCAUCAUGGAAGCUGCACACGAUGACACCCUGUCCGGAAAGUUUUUGCCAGAGGGCAAAAGACUGCAAGCAGAAUAUCCCUUCACCAUUUCUCAUGAAGCCCUGGAGAGGAUCGUUCAUGGAAACAAGGAUGACGAGUGUGGUAAGAAGUACAGGUGACUCGUGAGUGGGCAGGCAGUGGAAGAGAAGAUGGCUGGAAGGUUUUAGCAUUCAGAAAAAAAUGGAGACAACUAGAGUUGAUCUGAAGAUUAUGGCAGAAUUCAAUAUUGGGGCAAAGAAACAAGAUGGGGGUUAGAAAUUAGAAACAGCAGAGCUCCGCAGGUUGGAAAGGAUUUGAGCAAGAGAACAAAAAGGAGCCUGCUAAUAGCACCCUGGGUUUACAGCAAGAGAAGCACCUGGAGAGAAUUAACUCGGGAGGAGGUGGGGGCAUGGGAAACCUUUUCAUCUCCAAGAGUGGGCAGGAACAGCAGCUGGCCUGAACUUGAAGGUACACCAGGUAGCUUGCCUGGGCCAGGAGAAGGUGAUUCUCUUCUAUACCUCUCUCCAACGCCCCGCUUCUGAUGCUGCUCCUCUACCCAUAUUGAGGGGAAGAUAUAUCCCUAAGAAGUUCCCUGCACCCCAUUUCUUGUUCUGGCUAACUGGUCCCCUAGGAAUUUUUCUCCUAAUUUUCAUUUCCCCUUCUCACCUGGUGAAAUCUUAAAUCUUACUGUUCAAUAAAAGUUCUUCUACCAAAAUUUCUAUACCA